AUGGGGCUAUAGGGUGGGCUUUAAGGGGAUGUGGGGCUAGAAGGGUCUCCCUUUCCCCUUCCCCCAGCAUUUCCCUUCCCUUCAGUUUCUUGUUAUUUUAGGAAUGCUUUAAGCAUUGGUGUGCUUUACUGAGAAUGUUUCUUCCCAGUCUGUCAUUUCAUAGCAGGAUAUUGUUUAAUAAUGACUUUGGAGAAGGUUUCAGUAUCCAGUCUCCUGAUCAGGAAGAAAGAAGAAGGUUUUUGGAGGACUUAAUCAUGAGUCGAGCUGCUGCUGAACCUCCACUUCCAACAUGCAAGCAGGCUGGGCAGACACGGGAAGCACUGCCUGCAGCAGCACCAGCUGAGCUGUGUGUGCCAGAGGAAGGAAUGCGGUGUCUGGAGGAGCAGUGGGAGGAGACCCUGCGUGACUCUGCGUGUUCUGCAGGGCUGUUCCUCACAGCCUGCCACUGACAGACGUUUUGGGGCACUGCAGAGCCCGUUGGUGCAGAGGAAUUAAAGCGGUGUUGAUCUGUAAUGCCAUUUGAUCUGUGUGCAUGCAGAAUUUCCCCGUGUUUGUAGUUCUCAGUGUUUGUGGGCCUGGUUGUGUUCAAAGAUGUCAGAGCUCCGUGCGUCUUUGU